rnacentral:tRNA from 1 species
GUCCGCGUGGCCUAAUGGAUAAGGCCUUGUCUGACUUCGGAUCAGAAGACUGCAGGUUCGAGUCCUGUCGCGGACG